rnacentral:rRNA from 1 species
UACAGAGGGGGCAAGCGUUAUUCGGAAUUAUUGGGCGUAAAGGGCGCGUAGGCGGCCUGGCAAGUGGAAGGUGAAAUCCCUCGGCUUAACCGAGGAACUGCCUCCCAAACUGCUUGGCUUGAGACCGGGAGAGGUGAGUGGAAUUCCCAGUGUAGCGGUGAAAUGCGUAGAUAUCUGGAGGAAUACCGGUGGCGAAGGCGGCAUCCUGGACCGGCAUUGACGCUGAGUGAGCGAAAGCCAGGGGAGCAAACGGGG